UAAUUGUUCCCAUUUGGAAGAAAGCUGAUGAGAGAACAGGAGUCCUUAAUGCUGCUAUUUCUGUUGAAAAAUUACUGAAAACUGCUGGAAUCAAGGUCAAACGUGAUGAGUCAGAACAGAGGACCCCAGGAUGGAAAUUCAAUUUCUGGGAGAUGAAAUUGCAUCUACAUCUGCACCGCAUGUGUUCCAAAACACUCUUGUAAUCUUCGUCUUAAUCGUGCUUUGAGACAUGCGGAGCGACAGGGCGAUAGAGUGCUCAGGGUUUAUCACAGGAGAAUCUUGCUAGGAUAUUUGCAGACUUGAGGCGUUCGGGUUUGUUACAGGACAUUCUUCGAGGAAUUUCUUCUGUUCCUUGACUGGAUGGAUCAAGCCACUCCUAUCUUAUUUUGGACGUUUGAGACAUUUUGAAUAUUAGAGACAAAUACAUAAUAUUGGAUGCUUUUCAUUGUGAGAUAUUGAGUAAUCAUUGUGUAUGUAUAUGUUUUGUCUCUAAUAUUAUAUAUUGAGUACUCAUUGUGUAUGUAUAUAUAAUAUUGGAUAUUUAGCAAAAUUCGAGACAUUUUUG